rnacentral:tRNA from 1 species
GCCCCUCUAGCUCAAUUGGUCAGAGCGACGGACUCUUAAUCCGCAGGUUCUGGGUUCGAGUCCCAGGGGGGGUAC